rnacentral:rRNA from 1 species
UAAGGAAUAUUGGUCAAUGGACGCAAGUCUGAACCAGCCAUGCCGCGUGAAGGAUGAAGGUCCUCUGGAUUGUAAACUUCUUUUAUCUGGGACGAAAACGGGAUUUUUAUCUCAAUUGACGGUACCAGAGGAAUAAGCACCGGCUAACUCCGUGCCAGCAGCCGCGGUAAUACGGAGGGUGCGAGCGUUAUCCGGAUUUACUGGGUUUAAAGGGUGCGUAGGUGGGCUUAUAAGUCAGUGGAGAAAUCUCCGAGCUUAACUUGGAAACUGCCGUUGNUACUAUAGGUCUUGAAUUAUCUGGAGGUAAGCGGAAUAUGUCAUGUAGCGGUGAAAUGCUUAGAUAUGACAUAGAACACCAAUUGCGAAGGCAGCUUACUACAUAUAAAUUGACGCUGAGGCACGAAAGCGUGGGGAUCAAACA